GGCGGACGGGUGGAGUAACGACGUGAGCAACCUACGCCUCUGAGAGAGGGAGUAGCUUCUGGAAACGGAUGGUAAUACCUCAUAAUAUAGCUGGACCGCAUGAUCCGGUUACCAAAGAUUUAUCACUCAGAGAUGGGCUCGCGUCUGAUUAGCUAGUUGGUGAGGUAACGGCUCACCAAGGCGACGAUCAGUAGCCGGACUGAGAGGUUGAACGGCCACAUUGGGACUGAGACACGGCCCAGACUCCUACGGGAGGCAGCAGUGAGGGAUAUUGCACAAUGGAGGAAACUUCCUGAUGCAGCGAUGCCGCGUGGAGGAAGAAGGUUUUCGGAUUGUAAACUCCUGUUUCGAGGGACGAUAAUGACGGUACCUCGGGAGGAAGCUCCGGCUAACUACGUGCCAGCCGCGGC
rnacentral:rRNA from 1 species